rnacentral:rRNA from 1 species
UACAGAGGGUGCAAGCGUUAAUCGGAAUUACUGGGCGUAAAGCGUGCGUAGACGGUUACAUAAGUCGGGUGUGAAAGCCCCGGGCUCAACCUGGGAAUUGCAUUCGAGACUGCGUAGCUAGGGUGCGGAAGAGGGAAGCGGAAUUUCCGGUGUAGCGGUGAAAUGCGUAGAUAUCGAGAGGAACACCUGCGGCGAAGGCGGGUAGCUGGGCCGACACUGACGCUGAGGCGCGAAAGCUAGGGGAGCGAACGGG